rnacentral:rRNA from 1 species
CCUACGGGAGGCAGCAGUGGGGGAUAUUGCACAAUGGGGGGAACCCUGAUGCAGCGACGCCGCGUGGGUGAAGAAGCGCCUCGGCGUGUAAAGCCCUGUCAGCAGGGAAGAAAAUGACGGUACCUGAAGAAGAAGCCCCGGCUAACUACGUGCCAGCAGCCGCGGUAAUACGUAGGGGGCAAGCGUUAUCCGGAUUUACUGGGUGUAAAGGGCGUGUAGCCGGGUUGACAAGUCAGAUGUGAAAUCCGGCGGCUUAACCGCAGAACUGCAUUUGAAACUGUUGAUCUUGAGUACUGGAGAGGCAGACGGAAUUCCUAGUGUAGCGGUGAAAUGCUUAGAUAUCACGAAGAACUCCGAUUGCGAAGGCAGCUUACUAAACUGCCACUGACGUUGAUGCUCGAAAGUGUGGGUAUCAAACAGGAUUAGAUACCCCGGUAGUC